GCCACCAGGAAAGCCCUCAACGUAAUUCUUGAGCCCUUCUCCCCUACAGACCAGACCAGCAAUCUUCCAGGUCUGGAGCAGUGGCCUGGGACUGACUGCCCUUCUCCUGGGUGGAAAUCUGUUUCCUGGAUUUUAACCCUUCUUUGGUUCACUCCUCGAUUUUACUGGCACACAACUUGCAGUUUUCGUAAGAAUGGAUGAGUGGGAGAAAACAACCAUGUCCAGCCCCCUUCCUAUAACUACAAGAAUCUUCCUACUUUUUCCUUAUGUGUUUUCCUCUUGAAGAGAAAAGCUGACGAUUCAGCCACGGUUUCUGCUUGGCAGGGGAACCUUUGUAAAGAGCCCCACCUUCAGAACUACAAAUUACUAGAGAAACCAAGCAGAAAGAACAUCAUUCAUGAGCACUCUGUAGAAAAGCCUGGUUAUUGUCAUAUCAGUAAUGACAAGUGUAGUGGGCUGAAUGGUGGCUCUUCAAAAAGAUAUAUUUGCUUCCUAAUCCCUGGACGGAGUGAAUAUUACUUUCUAUGGUAAGAGAUUUGACUAAAUUAAGGAUCUUGAGAUAAGGAGGUAAUCUGGAAUUAUUCAGAUGGUCACUAAAUAACAUCACAAGUGUCUUAUAAGAGACAGUGGUAGGGGAGACACAGACACACACUGUGAAGAUGGAGGCAUGGACUGAAGUGAUGCAGCUAGAAGCCAAGGAAUGCCAAGGAGUGCAGGCAGCCACCAGAAGCUAGGAGAGCGGUAUGGAACAGAUUCUCCCUCAGAGCCUCCAGAAGGAACCAGACCUGGUGACACCAUGAUUUCAGACUUCAAGCCUCCAGAACUGUGAGAGCACAAAUUUUUGUCAUUUUAAGCCACCAAGUUUGAAGGGAAGAGACGUGAGGCAUGUAAGGUAUGCGGAUGUUUGUCAUUUACUUUUACCUCACUUGAUCCUGGCAGAAACACAUCAACCACAGUAGCUUUUGGUUCUGUGACUGGGUGAACCAAUAAAGCGCUUCCUGAAAAGUGGAGAAGAAAUAAAGUUGAAUAUCAUGAUAAGAGGUCUGAAAACAUCCCUUCUCUUUGUGGUUUCAAAGACCACUCAACUGAACUUCUUGAAGGUAGAGAUCUUGGUGAGUUGAACCAAUGAUUCAUCAGGGAGAUGCACUGUUAGUUAGAAAGAGGACAGGUGCUCAGAGGUAACUGUAUUAUUACCUGUCAUUAAUCCUCCUAUGGUAUAGUAGGAUUACAGGCAGGGACCCUGACAAGUCUGGCACAGCCUUAUUUUGUGCAUAACUGUCAUCUGAAAGCACCAUUGCACUUCUCUAAGUGCUUCAUUGUUUGCUAUACAUGACUUUGAAUGUGGUGAGUCUACAACUGUGACCCAGAAGUGUGGUCCACAUAGAUACUCAGGUCCUCUUCCUUGGGCAGGUAUCACUGGAAGCCUGUAAUUCUCUUAAAGGCAAUCUGGAUUAUUAAUUUCAUUUUGAUCUUGGCACCACCAUAUGUAAAAUUCAUCCAUUUAUGAAUUUGCUCUUUAAUUCAACAAAUAUUCAUUGAGUUCCUCCUGAGUCCCAGGCACUGUGCUAAGGCUCUGGGGACAGAGUGACAAAUAAGACAGACAUGGUCCCCACCCUCAUGAAGUUUACAGUCAGUAAAGACAGAUAUUAAACAAGUAAUUACAAAUUAAUUAGAGUUAAGACAAAUACCAAAAAGAUGAAAGUACAAAAUGGAAUGAAAUUUACAUAACAAGAGGGACUGACUUUGACUAAUGCAGGUGGAAUUAGGUAUUAGGAAGCAAUUUUGGUCAGGGAAAUUUUCUCCAGGGGAAGUAGCUUUGAAAUUUGAGACCUAAGAAUGAGUGGAGACCAAAAGAGAUAGGUUGUUUACAUUUUGGGGUUUCUGCUCUUUAGAAAUGGAAUUCACCUUUUGGGCAAUUCUGUGUUGAGCCUGGCUUCUUGACCCCAUUCCACAAAUGAUAAACUUCCAUGUUCCAAAUCUGGUUAACCCUUGUUAAAGAAGAGGCCAACCAAAACAAACAAACAAAAAAACCCCAAAAAACCAAAACCAAAAAAACCCAAAAAACAAAACAAACAAAAAAACCAAACCCAAAACAAACAAACAACCCUAUCUUGCAUACGAAAUAAGCUCUUCUGAGCCUUUACUAUCUGGUUUACUUUUUUCUACUUCCCUUCCCUGUGGUGGUAUCAUAAGGCUUAGGAGUGGACCCAGACAAGAAUCCCAACUUACAUCCACAAAUAAAAUGGGUUUAUGUGAAGUUAACAUGUUAUGCGAAGCGCUGCAUGACAAGAGAAUAGAGCUGUGAUCCCACUAAUACACUAAAGAUCUUGGUGAUGGAAUUUCUUUUAUUUUUGUUUUUGGCUUUCUUGAGAUUAGGGAUUUUUAAGCAUUCUUACACUAGAAAAUACAAUAAGGAAAACAUAAUUAAAGUAUUUAUCAUAACUAUAAUUAAUCAAGAAAUGCUCACCCAGCAUGUAUUCAUCUUCCACACUGAAAGUCUCUAAUUCAUCAGGGAACUCUACCCACAGAGGCCUGGGGAAAGGAAAAAAGAAAUUUCUUACUUCAAUAUCAUUAGAUUUUUAUUAUAAUUCAGUCACUUAGAUUUUCAGUUUUAUAACUAUUCAAAGGAAAUUGGAAAAAGCCAAGACUCUUUUUGUAUGAUUCAUGAUUUUAUGAGGGCUUCCCUGGUGGUGCAGUGGUUAAGAAUCUGCCUGCCAAUGCAAGGGACACAGGUUCGAGCCCUGGUCCGGGA